GGGUAAUAUGGCUUAGUGGCAGAAUGUUUCGUUUUCACCGAAGAGGACAAAGGUUCGAUUCCUUUAUCACUAC
rnacentral:tRNA from 1 species